rnacentral:rRNA from 1 species
GACGAACGCUGGCGGCGUGCUUAACACAUGCAAGUCGAACGGAAAGGCCCUGCUUUUGUGGGGUGCUCGAGUGGCGAACGGGUUAGUAACACGUGAGUAACCUGCCCUUGACUUUGGGAUAACUUCAGGAAACUGGGGCUAAUACCUGAUAGGAUCUCCUGCUGCAUGUUGGGGGUUGGAAAGUUUCGGCGGUUGUGGAUGGUCUCGCGGCUUAUCAGCUUUUUUGUGUGGUAGUGGCUUACCAAGGCUUUGACGGGUAGCCGGCCUGAGAGGGUGACGGGCAAAAGAGGGACUGAGAUACGGCCGAGACGCAUAAGGGAGGAAGGAGUGGGGAAUAUAGAAAAAUGGGCGGAAGCAUGAUGCAGAAACGCCGCGUGCGGGAUGACGGCCUUCGGGUUGUAAACCGCUUUCGACUGUGACGAAGCGUGAGUGACGGAAAUGGGUAAAGAAGCACCGGCUAACUACGU